rnacentral:lncRNA from 1 species
CUCAAAGCAAGAAGGAAGGAAGUGCAGACAGCAAAAGAAAGCAGUGUGACUAGAAGUUGUAAAACAAACUCCAAAAGCCGAGUCUUUAAUAAAAAAAUAAAAUAAAGAAGUUAAUGAAUUCAUAGCACAAAUGAUACAAGAAAAAAGAAUAAUUAGUAAUAUCAGGAAGUAAAGAUGCAUCAGUACAGACUCCACAGGCGGAAAGAUGAAGAGGAAGUACUAAGGAUUUGGCAAUGUGAAUGAAAUGGACUAAUUCUUUAAACCUCAAACUUCAAGUCACGCUCAGAAUAACAACAUGUGACUAGUCCAAAAAACAAUUAAUGAAAUUGAAUUCCCAGUUAUAAACC